rnacentral:rRNA from 1 species
UACAGAGGGUGCGAGCGUUGUCCGGAAUCACUGGGCGUAAGGGCGCGUAGGUGGCGACCCAAGUCGAUGGUGAAAGCUCGCCGCUCAACGGCGAGUCGGCCACCGAUACUGGGUUGCUGGAGCACUGUAGAGGCAGAUGGAAUUCCGGGUGUAGCGGUGGAAUGCGUGAGAGAGUCCGGAAGAACACCGGUGGCGAAGGCG